rnacentral:lncRNA from 1 species
GUGACAUCAAAAUAUAUGUGUAACGUUAUGGAAUUCAGAGAGGCAAUAGCUAAUAUUUAUUAGCUUACUCAUGUAUGCUAAUAUGCUAAUGACAUGCCAGUUCCUGUUCUAACUGCUUUGUGUAUAUUAACUUAUUCAAUCCUCCUAUGAGUGGGUCAUAUUAGCAUCUUAUUUCACAGUGCUGCCAGAGGUAGAAGAGUCACUUGCACGGUGGCUGUCUGCAUUUACAUUUCUUCUUUGAACUGUUUGGAAUGUCAGACCCAUUAAGAAGUAAUGUGUUCAUUCAGGAAACACAAUCAAAAUAAUUGAACAUCUUCCCCAGGUAUGAGUGUAUUAAUUUUUUCUUCUUUGCAGAAAUCUGGAUGAAAAUCACACCCAUUCUGCUAAAGAGUAAAAAAUAAUCAGUUCAAACCUAUCACAAAAAAAGGCACUUCAAAAACAUAAAGUUGGGAAAUUAUAGCAUGAGAACAACCAAGAAAUUUAAAUCACAGGGUUGAUCAUUUGUCUAAUUCUUUUCUUCUCCUGCAUUGUGUUAAUAUAAAAGAAGAAACAUGCAGGUCAAACCCUGCCACAAUGAGUAUCAUUAUCGUAAAACUUCUAUCUAACCAGAAGACAGGAAAAAAGAAUCAACAAGGGCGACAUUUCAAAACUUCAGAUUCAAUGACGCAGCAUUGUGCCUGUCUGAUCUGAGGUGCAUGAAGUUUAAGAAUCUUGUCUGAGUCUCUACAGCUAGGAAGUUGCUGAAAGAAGAUUCAAGAUCCAGACAUGUGCAGGCCUGUUGAUGUCAUGCAGGUCCAUGGACCCCUCGGAGAAGAGGGUUGAGUUGACAUCGAGGAAGCAAGCUGCUCUAGUUGGAGCCAAACCAGACAACCUGCCCAUUCUGCUAAUUGGAUUUUGGGAUCUGUGUUGAGGUAGCCUGAGCUGGAAGUUUAUUCACCUCUGCUCAGAUGCCAAGUCCAUUGGCCUAGAAGUACAUAGAACCUAAUAAAAUAAAUUAGCAAAAUGGCUAUGUCA